rnacentral:rRNA from 1 species
AGCGAACGCUGGCGGCAGGCUUAACACAUGCAAGUCGAGCGGGCAUCCUUGUGGUGUCCGCGGCAGACGGGUGAGUAACGCGUGGGAACGUGCCCUUCGGUUCGGAAUAACUCAGGGAAACUUGAGCUAAUACCGGAUACGUGCGAGAGCAGAAAGGUUUAUCUGCCGAAGGAUCGGCCCGCUUCUGAUUAGCUAGUUGGGGAGGUGAUGGCUCACCAAGGCGACGAUCAGUAGCUGGUCUGAGAGGAUGAUCAGCCACACUGGGACUGAGACACGGCCCAGACUCCUACGGGAGGCAGCAGUGGGGAAUAUUGGACAAUGGGGGCAACCCUGAUGCAGCCAUGCCGCGUGAGUGAUGACGGCCUUAGGGUUGUAAAGCUCUUUUAUCCGGGACGAUAAUGACGGUACCGGAGGAAUAAGCCCCGGCUAACUUCGUG